rnacentral:lncRNA from 1 species
AUUGAUUAUACAUAUAUAUGUAUAUAUUUAAUAUGUUAACUACUUUGGUCACUUUAACUGGAGAGUAAAGUGAGGUGCAGUGAUUAUGAUGGAGCAUGAUAAUGUGAGAAAAAGAAUGUAUACAAGCAUGUGUGACUGGGUCACCUUGCUGUACAGUAGAAAAUUGACAGAACACUAUAAACCAGCUAUAAUGGAAAAAAUAAAAAAAUAAAAAGAUACUGUUGAAGCAAAAAAAACCCCAAAAAACAAAAACAAUAACAGCAGGGUCAGGCAAGCUGUAGAAUUUUCGCUGCCAUGGGGCCGAGGGCUCAGCCUGGCACUGGUGCGCCUGGAAGUAGACUCGAGUUAUGUUUAAUCCCUGUGGAUUUAACCGUCAUUUAAUCCCUUUAUUGAUAUCCCCACUUAAGGGAUGGGGACACUUAGGCACAAGAGGGUAUGCAAAUUUCCCAAAUCACCCACAGCCAGGAUUCAAACCCAGGCAGCUGAGCAAGCUGACAGCAGGAAGACCCUUUUCCUUUGAAUGGGAGCGAUCCUGGGAGGCGGACAGGGAGUAUUUAUAGCUGUGAGUAUUUAUAGCUGUGAGAACUUGCACCCCAUGGGCCCCAUUGCCCUACCCAGGGGUGUGCCCAAUUCCUGCCAGCAAAAGCCCUCCAUUUGGAAUCUGCCGGAAGCUUCUGAAACAACAGCAUGCAUUUCUGACCUGUCUGCAAGUCCCACAUUCUCAAUGGGGGAAGAAGGGGGCUUUUUGGUGGAUUUUAACUUUGGCCAGUGCAAAGGGAGAGCUCUUUGUUAUAGACAGACUCCUGAAUGAUAACCAAGAAAGAGACUGAUGAGGAUUUUAAGAAUGUACUCUGCUGUGUGAGUUUAGGCAAAAUGCUUACCCUCUCUGUGUCUCCAUUUUCUCAUGUCUAAAGGUAAAGUAAUUCUCCAAAUUCUGCCAAUCUUUCCAGAACAUGAUGUCAACCAUUGAGCAACUAUGGCAGCCACAUAGAUCUGAUUCAGUAAACCAGCCACCCCCUCCCCAGGGACCACAGUUUACAGAUCUUCUAGAGGUUUCUGAAGAUUCUUUUACUCCGACUUCAGUGAGCUGGAGGAAACCUCGAAUGGCCACAUCGGACAUUACUGUCAGUACUACUGUUACUUGGGAUGACUUGGGGACCCCAAAGUCACCCCUUGGUGCCGCCACUGGGGUAUUUAUUUAUUCCGGACGGUUGCCGGGCUGUGCAGUCCCCCGGGCGCGGGCGGGUG